rnacentral:lncRNA from 1 species
ACAAACACGGCAGGGAAGUCUCGUCGCUGCGAAGGGGACGCGGCAUCCAUCUCUCCUCGGGAACUGAGGAGAGAAAAGGUCUGAGAACCUGCCCUCUUCUGCUACUUCCUCUUCCCCCCACCCUUCCCCCUUUCAGUACCAGGAUUCUUUGGGCGGUGAGUGCCAGAGGGCCCCAGUCACCCAGAACCCCCACCCCGAGUCAAAGCGCUGAAAUGAGCCCCGCGGCAGGGGCCGUGUUCAUUACCUUUGAAAAUGCUCAGUUCUUCUUCGGUCCAGGGCGGGGCAGAAGGGAGGAUGCAGAGGGAGAAACAGGAUGAACUCAAACACAGGAGAUAGGAGAUGAUUUGGAUGAAGUGAUAAAGAAAAGGCUUCACUCCAAGAAAAAAAAGAAAAAGAAAAGAAAAUGAAAAGACCUGCAGGAGCAAGAAGCCCUUUCCAGGGUGUGCUUAUGAGGAAGAAGGGAAUUAUGGUGAUAGCUACCACUUAAGCACUUACCUUGUUCCAGGUGCAAUAACGGUGUUUUACAGGCAUUAUUUUAUUUAGUCCCCCAAAAUAAAGCUAUUACGUACCUUUU